rnacentral:tRNA from 1 species
GGGGGUGUAGUUCAGUGGUAGAGCACUUGCCUAGCAUGGCAAGGCCCUGGGAUCAAUCCCCAGCACCCCCG